rnacentral:lncRNA from 1 species
GUCUCCCUUCAUCAAAUUUAUGCUUGAUGAGCAGAGAUCUCUCUGUUGGGUUCACCUGAAGAAGAGUUCCUGACACUCAGGAUUUAACUAUUAUUUGUUGAAUAAAAGCAUUAGAGUGGAGUAGCUUGCCAGGGAUUUAGCUCAGUGGUUUUACCGCCUUCAGCGCAAGCGCAAGGACCCAAGUUCGAUCCCCCGUGCAAAAAAAAAAAAAGAAAGAAAGAAAGAAUAGAGUAGCUUUAACUAGUGGGAAGUGUAAGAAUACGGUAACUAGAAUAAGGUAAGAUGGUCUAGUGAUAACAAUGUCCCAGUUAGAUGGAUGACCAUGAAUGUGCAGUGCCUGGAUGUGGGAUUUUUCUCUUGCAUUGCUUUGUUGCCCAAAGGCAAACCUGGAAAAGAUGGAGAAUUGGAUUCAUCCCAGAUUGAGCUUUGCCACAAGGAUGACAUGAAUGCAGAGGCAGAUGUGCCUAAGCUAAAUGUGUGUGGGGUGACCAGGAAAGGACCAUAUCUGACCUAACACUACAAUUUAUGCUGUGCAUUUAAGAGAAGAUUGCAAAUAUGUUCACAAUACCAAUUUUUAUGAUUUUUAUGGGACAGUGCUGAACCAGUGGAGACCGAUGCUGAAUACAGCAGUAGGAGCUUAUAUGGUGUUUUUCUUCCCAGAAUUCAAAUUGCAUUGCCUCUAAUUAUUUGAGCUGAUGGGAGAGAGACAAUAUAUAGGAUAACUUAAAGAUACUGAAAAAAGUUUUAGAAAUGUGAUAGGUAAGAAUUGAAAACAGAAAUGUAAGAAUGCAAUCAAAUGAAUUUCUUGUCUUACCAUCAUUUGUAAAAUUAAGCUGUUGUGUUUUCAGUGUACUUUUGGGUAGUUUACUGUUGAAUCUUUGUAUCAACUGUAAAAUCUCCCAAGCAUAUGAAACAACUAAAAGACAAGGAAUCUUCACUAAACACAAAGUAAAUGUAAACAUUGGAAACAGUUAUUCUCAUUUUUUAAUUUUAUUUUGAUACUGGGGAUUGAACCCAGGGCCUUUUUGGGCAAGUGGUCAUCCCCAGACAUUUUUUUUUUCUUUUGAGACAGGAUCUUGCUAAAUUCCCAAGGCUGGUUCUGGAUUCCAGUCCUCC